AAUUAAUGGGUCACUAUUAUUUAAAACAAAACACGCGAGAGCACGACCUUUCCCUUCAACUACACGCCGCAGCGCCGAGCCGCAGGAAACUCGGGGCUAACCUCUCACCCCCCGCGCUCGGCGGGGCUGCGGUUAUUUGGGCUGCUCUUUGUUUCCCUUAAUGUCUGCAAGGGGAUUUGGAAGCAGAAAUGUAAUAUUACAUGAAGGAUCUCCCCGCUUCGGGGAGAAGGUGCUCGCAGGGGGCGGCCGAGGGGACAGAUGAUUUCGCACGGGAGCGCGGGAGAAAUUUAUGCUCGAGAUACAGCAACUUCGGGGCUGGCGAUGUCAAAUAAUCCAUUUUCUCGGGGCUGCGCAGGGGAGCAGUGGCAGCCCGGCCGCCCGGCGCACACAGGAGGCAGCGCUUCUCGCAUGCGACUUCAGCCGUUUGCACGCGGGCAGGAUCUGGCCUGGGGGAUCUGUGCAGCGCGGCGCUGGGUCCCAUAAAUCUCGGAGGGGGGAAAGGGCGGCGAGGCGCUCGUCGAAUUGUGAAACCAACCGCGGGAGCAAACGCAAGGAAGGGCACGUCGGGAGCGCCUCCGAGUGAAGCGAAAGCCCUUGUGUAUUUUACAUCUUUUUCUCAUUAGAGGCAGCGCAGGUUGCAGCCUGUUCCAA